rnacentral:rRNA from 1 species
UGAGGAAUAUUGGUCAAUGGACGCAAGUCUGAACCAGCCAUGCCGCGUGCAGGAAGACGGCUCUAUGAGUUGUAAACUGCUUUUGUACGAGGGUAAUUGCGUCUACGUGUAGGCGUUUGAAAGUAUCGUACGAAUAAGGAUCGGCUAACUCCGUGCCAGCAGCCGCGGUAAUACGGAGGAUCCAAGCGUUAUCCGGAUUUAUUGGGUUUAAAGGGUGCGUAGGCGGUUCGGUAAGUUAGAGGUGAAAUCCCGUGGCUCAACCACGGAAUUGCCUCUGAUACUGUCGGGCUAGAGAAUAGUUGCUGUGGGCGGAAUGUGUGGUGUAGCGGUGAAAUGCUUAGAGAUCACACAGAACACCGAUUGCGAAGGCAGCUCACAAAGCUAU